rnacentral:rRNA from 1 species
AUUGAACGCUGGCGGCAUGCUUUACACAUGCAAGUCGAACGGUAACAGGCCUUCGGGUGCUGACGAGUGGCGAACGGGUGAGUAAUGCAUCGGAACGUACCCAGAGGUGGGGGAUAACGCAGCGAAAGCUGUGCUAAUACCGCAUGUGAUCUGAGGAUGAAAGCGGGGGACCGAGCAGCAAUGUUUGGCCUCGCGCCUUUGGAGCGGCCGAUGUCGGAUUAGCUAGUUGGUGGGGUAAAGGCCUACCAAGGCGACGAUCCGUAGCUGGUCUGAGAGGACGACCGGCCACACUGGGACUUGGACACGGACCAGACUCCUGCGAGAGGCAGCAGUGGGGAAUUUUAGGCAAUGGUCGCAAGCCUGAUCCAGCAAUGCCGCGUGCGAGAAGAAGGCCUUCGGGUUGUAAACCGCUUUUGGCAGGAGCGAAACGGUGUCCGCUAAUACCGGGCGCUAAUGACGGUACCUGCAGAAUAAGCACCGGCUAACUACGUG